rnacentral:lncRNA from 1 species
AUGUGGACUCCAAUGCCACCUCCUCUGUGGUAUACCGGUAUGAUGACUAGUUCAUGAAAUAUUUGAUAUAAUGCUAACAUGCUAAUUUCCAAGUCCGCUCUGUUUAUGCAACAGUAUAAGCUAGCGCAUGUUCAUUUUUCUCUAAUAUAAGCAGCAUCACAAAGUCCAGACUUCCAAUUCCCAAGGAGAUGAAGGUUUGUCUUUUUUUCUUUGCAAGGGUUUAUACCAAUAAAUUGUCGAUACUAGACACCAAGGAUCCAAGCGAUACUGCCGAUGCUCCUUGCAAUAACUGCCGAUGAUCAUGGUGUACAUGAUCGCAUCUAGCUCCCAGCCUUCGUCUUCCAAAUUCUUCAGCAAUCGAACGGCUUUCCUGGUAUGGCCGGUUCUUGAGAAUCCCUCAUCAUGGCUCGGCAUGUGGUUAUAUCUACCUUAUCAAAGUGUUAAAGCUCACAGUUGUUGGUUCUAGUGCAAGUUUGACUAUUUAACAUCAAAACUGAGAAACCGAGAUCGGACCUCUUCAAUUGGCGGAGGUGAUUCAUCAAAAUGCUGCGAGUAAAAACAUUGGGAGUCGUUCCUUCCAAACCCAUCCUCUCGGUCAUGUCAAUGGUGAUGGCGCAAUGCUUCAUCUUGGCCACAACCCCCAAGAGUUGGGCAAAACGGGGGGUUGAAGGUAAAGGGUUCAUUCGAAUCAUCCUCUCCAAACAGAAUAAAGCAUCGUUGGCUUCCACCAAUCCGCCGUUUCUGCAUUUGUUUAUCACAAAGGCCACAGAUUCAGAUCAAUCCAUUGAAUCACUCGCUCCAGCAGUGGAUGGGCAAGUGUGAGAGCGAUGUGAAAACAAAUGAGACAAUGCAAAGACGGGAUGAAGAAAUGAGAGGCUUAGCGAGAUCGCCAGAUUCUUGAAUGAGAUGGUCAAAAGCAGAAGUACAAAUGGAUCGAUUCAUUCUCAUCAGUUUUCGCUAAUUUCUCCUUGUGAGUCCCGGGAAUUUACAAUUGACGCGAUGGUGUUUGGAGAGGAUGAUUGUUAGGCAGUUCAAUCACUGAAAACAUUAGAUGUCUGAUUGUCAGACUAAAC